GACCUCUCAAAUAUCAUGGCUUUAGGAGUUUAAAAAGAAAUAUCAAAAAAGUUGUCAUUUUGAGUCUACCUACGUUGAAAUUUUCUUGAAAAAGUUACAAUAAAAUUAAAAAUCAAACGGUCAAAAUCCAAGUUUUUUCCAUUAUGGUAGGUAGGAACGGCUCCUAGCUUUUUUUGUUGGUAGGCAUAUAUAUGGCAUU
ensembl:snoRNA T25D10.11 ncRNA